UUGGUUGGGCACUCUAAUGAGACUGCCGGUGACAAACCGGAGGAAGUGGGGAUGACGUCAAGUCCUCAUGGCCCUUAUGGGUAGGGCUUCACACGUCAUACAAUGGUCGGUACAGAGGGUUGCCAACCCGCGAGGGGGAGCUAAUCCCACAAAGCCGAUCGUAGUCCGGAUCGCAGUCUGCAACUCGACUGCGUGAAGUCGGAAUCGCUAGUAAUCGUGGAUCAGCAUGUCACGGUGAAUACGUUCCCGGGUCUU
rnacentral:rRNA from 1 species